rnacentral:rRNA from 1 species
AUUGAACGCUGGCGGCAGGCCUAACACAUGCAAGUCGAACGCGUGGCGGACGGGUGAAUAAUGUCUGGGAAACUGCCUGAUGGAGGGGGAUAACUACUGGAAACGGUAGCUAAUACCGCAUACCAUCAGAUGUGCCCAGAGGGGAUUAGCGAGUUGGUGGGGUAACGGCUCACCAAGGCGAAGAUCCCUAGCUGGUCUGAGAGGAUGACCAGCCACACUGGAACGGAGACACGGGCCAGACUCCUACGGGAGGAAGCAGUGGGGAAUAUUGCACAAUGGGCGAAAGCCUGAUGCAGCCAUGCCGCGUGUAUGAAGAAGGCCUUCGGGUUGUAAAGGACUUUCAGCGGGGAGGCGUUACCCGCAGAAGAAGCACCGGCUAACUCCGUGCCAGCAGCCGCGGUAAUUC